CUUUACUGUAACUUGAGAUUGAAAUUGGACUUUACUUGCGCAGUAUAGGUGGGAGGCCUUGAGUCAAUUCUUGCGGGAAUUGAGGAGCCAUCAGUGAGAUACCACUCUGGUAAUGUUAGAUUUCUAACUUUGAAUCAUGAUCUGGUCAAAGAACAGUUUCAGGCGGGCAGUUUGACUGGGGCGGUCGCCUCCCAAAUGGUAACGGAGGCGUACAAAGGUUUCCUCUGAACGUGUAGAAAUCGUAUCUAGAGUGUAAAGGCAUAAGGAAGCUUGACUGUGAGACCUACAAGUCGAGCAGGGACGAAAGUCGGUCUUAGUGAUCUGACGGCGCUGAGUGGAAAGGCCGUCACUCAACGGAUAAAAGUUA
rnacentral:rRNA from 1 species